rnacentral:rRNA from 1 species
AACGAACGCUGGCGGCAUGCCUAACACAUGCAAGUCGAACGAGAUCUUCGGGUCUAGUGGCGCACGGGUGCGUAACGCGUGGGAAUCUGCCCUUUGGUUCGGAAUAACAGUUGGAAACGACUGCUAAUACCGGAUGAUGACGAAAGUCCAAAGAUUUAUCGACAGAGGAUGAGCCCGCGUAGGAUUAGGUAGUUGGUGUGGUAAAGGCGCACCAAGGCGACGAUCCUUAGCUGGUCGGAGAGGAUGAUCAGCCACGCUGGGACUGAGACACGGCCCAGACUCCUACGGGAGGCAGCAGUGGGGAAUAUUGGACAAUGGGCGAAAGCCUGAUCCAGCAAUGCCGCGUGAGUGAUGAAGGCCUUAGGGUUGUAAAGCUCUUUUACCCGGGAUGAUAAUGACAGUACCGGGAGAAUAAGCUCCGGCUAACUCCGUGCCAGCAGCCGCCGUAA